UCAUCUAGACAAUUACCACUCUGAGCACUGUGCAGAGAGGAGGAGAUUUUGCUCUUGCCUGUCCUUAGAGACACUGCAGUCAGGGUGCUGAACUGCAGCUGUGCACCCUGGGGACCCACUCUGCUGUUCCAUCCCUCAAGUCCCAGGAAGCCCCCUGCAUCAUCAACCCCUGGGUCAGAGGCUAGAGAAGUGGCAAUGAGAAUGUGAACAGAGCAUUGCAGGGGAGGGAAAGACGGAGGACAGCAGGGGAGGAGGAGUUGCUGGGCAGCUCGGAACAGAGGGCAGGCAGAGGCUGAUGACAGCCCCAGGAGUAGCUUGGGCACAGGACAGACAGGUAAAACAAGAAGAAAGUAUCAGAAAAUAUCUGCCAGGGUCCUAGAUGGCUUAGUCCUGCUUCAUUUAAGACUGGAGAUGCUUGUAGUCUGGGCUUGGAGUCAGUAAUGGGAAAGAAUAUCAUCCUGGACAUGAUUUGGGGGAACCAGAGCAGCUCAGGGCACUUCUGCCCCCCUUGAACCUCCUCCCCAAGGUAGAGAGCCUACCCCUAAGACCUCCUCAUCCAGCUCUUCCUCUCUGAGACACAGAACCCAGGUUGUCUUAUGAGGAGACCAGCUUCAGUCUCAGCGAUCAGGACAAAGCAAUGGCCAGAGCAGAGGAACAGGACCUCCCGUCCAUCCUUUGGUGGAGACCCAAGCCUAGAGACUUGGAUGAAAACAUCCUAAAUAUGACAGAGAAAGAAAUGGUCUUCUCAGUGGAAAGCAGGAGGCCCUGAAGCCCGAGAUCUGGUGUCAACUCCUAUUCCACACGAGCAUGUUCACUGGCUGGCCCUGCAUGCUGCCACAAGCCCUGGACCUGCAAUUCCCAAAGUCCCCUCUAGCCCAAAUGCCACUUUUCAGGGAUCGGCAGAAGGAAGGGUUGUCCACACUCUUCCCAGGCCGCAUAGAGCUCCUGGAAUCAUCACAUGCCUUUGAGUGGCGCUUCUGGUACUGGGUGAGCUUGAGCACAAGCGCGCGCACACAACACAACUGCCUGCUGGGUAAGCUUGCACACACACACACACACACACACACACACACACACACCUGCCUGCUGGGUGAGCUUGCAUACACACGUAACACACACACAACUUGCCUGCUGGGUAGGUUUGCACAAACACCCUCCACACACACCCCACACACCCCUGCUGGGUUAUCUUGCACACACACACACACACACACACUUCUGCUGGGUGAUCUUGCACACACACGUAACACACACACACACACACCUGCUGGGUGAGCUUACACACGUAACACACACACACACACACACACACACCUGCUGGGUGAGCUUACACGCACACACACCUGCCUGCUCUGGGCAGUGGUUAUGGAGUCACAUCUCUACUCCCCACCAGGGUACCAAAGAAAGAAGUACGUGUGAAAACAGGUCAUCCCACAGCACUCAAAGCAAAUCCAUGAAGCAACCCUUUCCCAGCCCUCCUCCCCAAAGCCCAGGGGCCUUAGAAAUGGAUAGCUUCCUGUCUUUCUUCCUCAAUUCUAUUUGGUCUGUGCUUCUGAGGGCAGAGAACUGUUGUCAUGGAAACCCCUCCUUGGAUGCCAGACACCUUCUGUGAAGCAACAGGACUAGGAACUCCAAGAUCCUGGGUUCUUUCAGACCCUGACCUCGGACCAUCUUAAUUGUUUUACUCUGUCCAUUCUCUCCUGGAGGGCUGAAUGGUGAGGGCAGCUGAAUGUUUGGGGAGUCAACGGACUGACUUUGCUUGAAUCUUUAGAUGGAGGACUGAUGAGCUGAACUGGAGGCAGUACAGCACUACCUCUGCAGACUUCCCACCUCUCUCCUCCAUCAGAGAGUGAAGCUCCUUGGCCUCCAUGAGGCCUGCUCUAAAACCUGCUCUCCUGGCCCAGGACCAGUACACACCACCUUCCUCAGACCCCUCCACACAGGUUGGAGGCCGGCGGCCCACCGGGGACACGGCUGUCCACGCUGCCGGACUUGAAGACCUUCAGCUCUGCUGCGCUGGCCUUGGCCAUACUGCCACCGCCGACCGCCGCCUUGGCGCGCUUGGGCAGCAUGCCUCUGCCGUCCGCCGCGGCCGCCUUUCUGCUGGCUCCCCGAGGCUCGUCCGCGCCCUCGUCGCCGCCGCUGCCGCUGCCGCCGCUCAGCUCCACCUCGGGCUGCACGCUCUUGACGCUGCUGCCCAGCAUUCUGCCUGCCAGGAGCGCAUGGACGAUCCGCGCGUC